rnacentral:rRNA from 1 species
AACUUUGAAGACUGAAGUGGAGAAAGGUUCCACGUGAACAGCAAUUGGACGUGGGUUAGUCGAUCCUAAGAGAUAGGAGAAAUCCGUUGCAAGGUGGACGUUUAUUCGUCCCUUCUAUCGAAAGGGAAUCGGGUUAAUAUUCCCGAACCAGGACGUGGAUGUUGAGUGGUAACACAAGCAAAGCCGGGGACGACGGCGGGAGCCCCGACGAGAGUUUUCUUUUCUUGUUAACAGAUUUCAAUGACCCUGGAAUCGGAUUGACCGGAGAUAGGGUUAUCGGUCUGGGAAAGGCGGUCGCUUUUGGACCGCUUCGGUGCGCUCUCGACGUUCCUUGAAAACCUGGCGGCGUGUCUUAUUCGCACUCCUGGUCGUACUCAUAA